rnacentral:rRNA from 1 species
UACGUAGGUCCCGAGCGUUGUCCGGAUUUAUUGGGCGUAAAGCGAGCGCAGGUGGUUUAUUAAGUCUGGUGUAAAAGGCAGUGGCUCAGCCAUUGUAUGCAUUGAAAACUGGUAGACUUGAGUGCAGGAGAGGAGGGUGGAAUUCCAUGUGUAGCGGUGAAAUGCGUAGAUAUAUGGAGGAACACCGGUGGCGAAAGCGGCUCUCUGGCCUGUAACUGACACUGAGGCUCGAAAGCGUGGGGAGCAAACAGG